GAUGAACGCUGGCGGCGUGCCUAAUACAUGCAAGUCGAGCGAACAGACGAGGAGCUUGCUCCUCUGACGUUAGCGGCGGACGGGUGAGUAACACGUGGAUAACCUACCUAUAAGACUGGGAUAACUUCGGGAAACCGGAGCUAAUACCGGAUAAUAUAUUCAACCGCAUGGUUCAAUAGUGAAAGACGGUUUUGCUGUCACUUAUAGAUGGAUCCGCGCCGCAUUAGCUAGUUGGUAAGGUAACGGCUUACCAAGGCAACGAUGCGUAGCCGAGCUGAGCGGGUGAUCGGCCACACUGGAACUGAGACACGGUCCAGACUCCUACGGGAGGCAGCAGUAGGGAAUCUUCCGCAAUGGGCGAAAGCCUGACGGAGCAACGCCGCGUGAGUGAUGAAGGUCUUCGGAUCGUAAAACUCUGUUAUUAGGGAAGAACAAAUGUGUAAGUAACUAUGCACGUCUUGACGGUACCUAAUCAGAAAGCCACGGCUAACUACGUG
rnacentral:rRNA from 1 species